GGUUCUCCAGAGAAAUGGAGUUAGAGAUGCAUUGCUAUAAGAAAUGGAAUGGGCUCGCAUGAUUACAGAGGCUGAGGGGUCCUACACCCUGUCGUCUGCAAGCUGGAAAGGUAGGAGAGUCUGUGCUGCAGCCCUAGCCAGAGCCUGGAGGCCCGAGAACCAGGCACGCCGACGACAGCACACUUCCAGCCUGAGAGCAAGAGAAGGUCGGUGUUCCAGCUCCAGCAGGCUGGCAGAGGGAGGGUUCUCUCUCCACCUUUGUGUUCUACCCAGGUCUUCAAUGGGUUGGAUGAGGCCCAUCCACAUUGCGAGGGCGUCUGCUUCACUGAAUCUACCGUCACACCUGCUUCUCUUGGAUGCCGUCCGAUUGCAGAGACGCUGUGCCCUUGAGGGUUCCUGCCCCACCGUGUGUGCUGGUGCUAGGAUGUCUGCCCUGGUCCAGACCUGCACCCCUGAGUCAGAGGCUCUUACUCUGGGUUCAAUCGAGAAGGUUAUUUGGCCCCCACACAAAGCUAAGACUUUCACCUUGGCAUUUGUUAGGAAUUCUUUCCUGAAGUUGGACAGUUUGGCCAUGUUCAAGCCUCUGAAUUCUUCCAUAGAAUUGUCUUCUGGAAAUCAUGCCACAGUAAUUUAAGUCUCCCCAGCUGUGUGUGUGAGGGCUUCCUACCCUCUUGGGCAUGGAGG